GCCACCUUAGCUCAGCUGGUAGAGCAGCUGAUUUGUAAUCAGCCGGUCGGCGGUUCAAGUCCGUCAGGUGGCU
rnacentral:tRNA from 1 species